rnacentral:miRNA from 1 species
UGAGAUCAAAAGUUAGACUCAUU